AGACCGGGUUUUAGUAUAUACGAGUUUUUUUGAAAAAAAAAAAGGAGCAAUAACCUCUUUCUUGUUCUAUCAAAAGGGGGGUCUUGCUCCUUUUUUUUUUUAUAAG
rnacentral:misc_RNA from 1 species